ACUUGUUCGAGUCGAAUGAAAGUCAUCUUUGGAGCUGAAGAAGAAGAAAGAUCGUUCUGCGAACUAUAAACCAGCUGCUGAACAGUUCUUACCUGGUAGUCUUGGCGUCAAAGACAUCAGUUGUCCCUCUUCAGUUUGCUCUGUUGGGCGGAUUCUUCAGAUUUGCCCUGAUGGGACAUUUUUAUUGGAGCUUAAGCGACCAGUGGGUCAGACGUUUGGCUUCAUCAUCAGCAGAGGAAGAGGACGACGUGACACUGGUGUGUAUAUAGAAGACAUGAACAGCAGCACUGGGAAGCUGUAUGCUGGCCUGCUGGCUAUUGGAGAUGAGAUCCUGGAAGUCAACGAGGAGAAGGUGGCCUGCCUCAGUCUGGACCAGGUGACAAACCUCCUGAUCAAGAACCAGUCUGUCACCAUUCGGGUCCUUCGACACCAGAGGACACGUUCAGAGUGACAACCACACUGCCUGACUGAAGAACCAGUUGCCAACACUGAACCUGACUCACCUGUUUAUGGCAGUAACAGAGUUAAAGCAAAACUGCAGUCUAUGUCUUACACUUUCUCAUGAUGAGAAGCUUCUUGUUUCCUGUUAAAUCACUUUGACUUGCUGGUGUGAAUAUUUGUUUAAUGCCAUGCAGUAUUUGUCCUCUGAGCUGAUACUGUUUUUUUGUUUUUUCAAUUUUAUUUUAUUAUUAUAUUAAUAAUAUUAUUGAUUUUUUUUUUUCAUGAAGUAGCUUGGUUUUUUAUUUUGUCUGUGUUUGUUUUGCUAAAGAAAAAGAAAAAUAUUGUUUAAAAACAAGCUGGAACCUGCCAAAAGAAAAUUAUUCAAA